UUCGGUCUGGUGGCGAGUGGCGAACGGGUGAGUAAUGUAUCGGAACGUGCCUAGUAGCGGGGGAUAACUACGCGAAAGCGUAGCUAAUACCGCAUACGCCCUACGGGGGAAAGCAGGGGAUCGCAAGACCUUGCACUAUUAGAGCGGCCGAUAUCGGAUUAGCUAGUUGGUGGGGUAACGGCUCACCAAGGCGACGAUCCGUAGCUGGUUUGAGAGGACGACCAGCCACACUGGGACUGAGACACGGCCCAGACUCCUACGGGAGGCAGCAGUGGGGAAUUUUGGACAAUGGGGGAAACCCUGAUCCAGCCAUCCCGCGUGUGCGAUGAAGGCCUUCGGGUUGUAAAGCACUUUUGGCAGGAAAGAAACGUCAUGGGCUAAUACCCCGUGAAACUGACGGUACCUGCAGAAUAAGCACCGGCUAACUACGUGCCAGCAGCCGCGGUAAUACGUAGGGUGCAAGCGUUAAUCGGAAUUACUGGGCGUAAAGCGUGCGCAGGCGGUUCGGAAAGAAAGAUGUGAAAUCCCAGAGCUUAACUUUGGAACUGCAUUUUUAACUACCGAGCUAGAGUGUGUCAGAGGGAGGUGGAAUUCCGCGUGUAGCAGUGAAAUGCGUAGAUAUGCGGA
rnacentral:rRNA from 1 species